rnacentral:rRNA from 1 species
AUUGAACGCUGGCGGCAGGCUUAACACAUGCAAGUCGAGCGAGCGGCGGACGGGUGAGUAAUGUCUGGGAAACUGCCUGAUGGCGGGGGAUAACUACUGGAAACGGUAGCUAAUACCGCAUACCAUCAGAUGUACCCAUAUGGGAUUAGCUUGUAGGUGGGGUAAUGGCUCACCUAGGCGACGAUCCCUAGCUGGUCUGAGAGGAUGACCAGCCACACUGGCACUGAGACACGGUCCAGACUCAUACGGGAGGCAGCAGUGGGGAAUAUUGCGCAAUGGGGGCAACCCGGAUGCAGCCAUGCCGCGUGAGUGAAGAAGGCCUUCGGGUUGUAAAGUACUUUCAGCGGGGAGGCGUUAACCGCAGAAGAAGCACCGGCUAACUCCGUGCCAGCAGCCGCGGUAAUAC